GGUGGUAUAGCUCAGUGGUAGAAUGUGUGCUUGGCAUGCAUGAGGUCCUGGGUUCAAUCCCCACUGCUUCUG
rnacentral:tRNA from 1 species